GGAUGUGAGGGCAGUCUGACUGUGAAUCCACUGAUCANNNNGAUUGUAUCUAGUUGGAUGUCCCCUCCUUUUCCCAUCACUCUGCAUGCAUCCCUAGGACUGUUUCCUUGGUCAAGGGUAUACAAAUAACUGCAUUCCCCUGCUAGAAUCUCCAGACAGGCUCUCAACAAUGAUAACUGUGUAACACAAGAGUGCAGUGUUGUCUCAGGUUGGUGUCAGUUACUGGAGUCUGUAACUAUAUUCAGUAAAAU
ensembl:misc_RNA 7SK 7SK RNA